GUCAGCAGCAGGGAAAAUGAGGGUCUCAGCCAGUCCCAACUCUGGAACAUCAGGUCAAUGACAAAACAAAGUCAGAUUUUCACAUUGCUAUUUCCAGCUAUGGUGUCACUGGCAAUGGUGAUGUUUAGUGUGUUCUCUGGGAAAAUGAUGCUGCAGAGAAGUUUUUGGCGAAGAGUCCUCAACCUGGGAAACAGGCAGAGAACAUCUACCUCCCAGAACACAGGGUCAACACAAGGCCAAGCAGGAAGCCUGAAGGGACGAGCUUCCACUUUGUUCCCACAGUUCCUGCCGCUUAGAGAACACGGUCCAGGAUGCUGCGUGGAUGUGACUGUUAGUUUUGUUUUUGUUUGAGAUAGAAUUUCAUACUAUGUAGACCAGGCUGAUCAAACUCACCAUCCUCCUGCCUCAGCCCUGCAGCUCCCCAUCUCUGGGAUUCCAGCUAUAUACCACGACACCUAUCUCAGACUCCUUGGCAAGAUGCAAAACAAACAAACAAACACCAAGCAAG
rnacentral:lncRNA from 1 species